UCCAUCCACCACAACCUUGGCAAAGGGAUCAGGAAGUCCUGAGGGGAGGAAAAGAAAAAAAAAAACCUGGCAAAUGGCUCAGGAUGCUUUGAAGACCUGCAUCAUUGCACAAUUCACUUUUUAAUCUCUUAUUUCAAGUUGCCUUUUAUUCAUAAAUGAGCACCAUAUUUAAUGAAUGGGAAAAACAUGACAUAUUAGGCACAGGGAAUGGUAAAUUAGUAGAUUAUUUCACUGAUAUGGACCAAUAAAAAGUUGUCUGAGUCAAACACACUGGGGAAAAAAAAUCUGAACAUCUUAAAUCUUCCUAAUUCAGGGCAAAAAUCAGUGCUAAGAUGGUGCUGGACAGACCAGCUGGGCAUGGAAAAGCAGCAGGAGCAGCCCAGAAUCAGCACAACCAACUGAUGGAUUCUACCCAGGGGUUCACUGACCCCAAGGAUGGUCCCACCACUGCUGCCCCCAGGUUUUUUGCACACAGUACUGCAAGAGAAACAGAAAUACAAAAUUAAGUUACUGGUUGCCAACUUGAAAAGAAGUUGUUACUUCACCUGUCCAGCAUCCCAGAAAAUCCUGCUCAAAA